UGAGUUUAUUUAGAAAAUUUUUACAUUUAGACAGUGAGGAGUGUGAUCAAAUAUUUAAAAUAAAAUAUAAUAUUCAGUCAUUUUAUGAGAAUAAAAUAAAUUAUCUCGUAAGUACAAUAUGCUAUCUUACCAAAUCAUGAAGACUGUGCUUGGAUGUUAAAAUAAGUUAUCCAAAAUUAGCUUAUUCCGUAUAAAUUUUUUUUAAUAUGAUUGUGAGUAAGGAGUUUAAUUUUUGCUUCUUCAAAAAUCUUAUUAUCCAUAAUUUGGUAUGAUAACAUAUUUCAUUUGAACUAUGGACCAUUAAAUUGGCUAUCUAAUAUUUCAAAAUUGUAACUUUACUAUCCAAUGUUUUAAUUUGAUUGAUUUGAGUCUGUCCAUAAUAUUUUUGACUUUAAAAUUUAAAUGAGUCGUUUAACUUUACUGCUUUAGUUUGUAUAUUUUAUGUAAUUUCUGCAGUUAUAAAUUCAUUAAAAUAAAUAAUUAGCUUAAAUUUAAAAGUCAAAUUAAACAAAUUGAAAAGUUCGGUACUAGAAUCAAAAUUUUGAAAUAUUUGAUGGCCCAUUCAAAUAUUUUGUAUGUAGUCCACAUAAGCUCCAUACAUUUUUACCAUAAAUAAAUAAUAAAUUACUAUUAUAGUAAGUAAUAAAUAAUUAUAUUUAAUAUUUAAAUAAAAUAAAAUAAAUAUUUAUAUUUAGUAUUUAAAUAAAUAAAUAAAUAACGACACAUAUCUUAUUUUGAAAUCUAAAUUUAAAUUUUAAAUUUCAAAUAUAAAAUCUNUUUGUAGUUUGAAAUUUUAAAACUUAUAAUUUUAAAUUUAAAUUUUAAACAUAAAAUUCAAAUAUAAAUUUAAAAUUCAAAAUUAAAAUUAAAUUUUAAUUUUAAUUUUAAUUUU
rnacentral:lncRNA from 1 species